UCUCCCUCUGUUGAAUUACCCAUUUGCCCAAACUCCGCAAUCUCCAUCCCCCUACCAGCGCCCAACAACCCUCCACCAUUUUCCCUAUCCUCACUCAAGACUGCUGUCAAAUCGCUCCCAUUACUGCCAUUCGAACUAUAUGCCAUGGGAACAUCCCCGAAAACUUCCUUGUACAGCAAAAAAUUCGACCAAUGUGUAAGCCCUUCCAACCAGUC
rnacentral:misc_RNA from 1 species